rnacentral:rRNA from 1 species
AUGUGUCUGAAGAGAAUACACUUCCAACCCCUUGAGGACAAGAUUGCGGCUCAGCUAGCACCUUGGAUGGGGAAGCACAUUACUUCACCGGGCCGGACAGUCCUAGUCAAGUCGGUCAUCACGGCAUUCACCAUUUACUGCAUGAUGGCUCUAAACCUCCCGGAUGAAGUUAUAGAAAAAAUUGAUGCACUCCGGCGGGCUUUUCUUUGGGCCGGAUGUGACAAGGUCACGGGUGGCAAAUGUAAGAUAAACUGGGAGCAGGUGUGUAGGUCCAAGCCACAUGGUGAGCUAAGUGUUCUAAAUCUUGCAAAAUUUGCCUCCGCACUCCGGCUGUGA